rnacentral:rRNA from 1 species
AGUCAAGUGAAUAAGUGCAUCAGGCGGAUGCCUUGGCGAUGAUAGGCGACGAAGGACGUGUAAGCCUGCGAAAAGCGCGGGGGAGCUGGCAAUAAAGCUAUGAUUCCGCGAUGUCCGAAUGGGGAAACCCACUGCAUUCUGUGCAGUAUCCUAAGUUGAAUACAUAGGCUUAGAGAAGCGAACCCGGAGAACUGAACCAUCUAAGUACCCGGAGGAAAAGAAAUCAACCGAGAUUCCGCAAGUAGUGGCGAGCGAACGCGGAGGAGCCUGUACGUAAUAACUGUCGAGAUAGAAGAACAAGCUGGGAAGCUUGACCAUAGCGGGUGACAGUCCCGUAUUCGAAAUCUCAACAGCGGUACUAAGCGUACGAAAAGUAGGGCGGGACACGUGAAAUCCUGUCUGAAUAUGGGGGGACCAUCCUCCAAGGCUAAAUACUCAUCAUCGACCGAUAGUGAACCAGUACCGUGAGGGAAAGGCGAAAAGAACCCCGGGAGGGGAGUGAAACAGAACCUGAAACCUGAUGCAUACAAACAGUGGGAGCGCCCUAGUGGUGUGACUGCGUACCUUUUGUAUAAUGGGUCAACGACUUACAUUCAGUAGCGAGCUUAACCGGAUAGGGGAGGCGUAGGGAAACCGAGUCUUAAUAGGGCGAUGAGUUGCUGGGUGCAGACCCGAAACCGAGUGAUCUAUCCAUGGUCCAGGUUGAAGGUGCCGUAACAGGUACUGGAGGACCGAACCCACGCAUGUUGCAAAAUGCGGGGAUGAGCUGUGGGUAGGGGUGAAAGGCUAAACAAACUCGGAGAUAGCUGGUUCUCCCCGAAAACUAUUUAGGUAGUGCCUCGAGCAAGACACUGAUGGGGGUAAAGCACUGUUAUGGCUAGGGGGUUAUUGCAACUUACCAACCCAUGGCAAACUCAGAAUACCAUCAAGUGGUUCCUCGGGAGACAGACAGCGGGUGCUAACGUCCGUUGUCAAGAGGGAAACAACCCAGACCGCCGGCUAAGGUCCCAAAUGAUAGAUUAAGUGGUAAACGAAGUGGGAAGGCACAGACAGCCAGGAUGUUGGCUUAGAAGCAGCCAUCAUUUAAAGAAAGCGUAAUAGCUCACUGGUCGAGUCGUCCUGCGCGGAAGAUGUAACGGGGCUCAAAUCUAUAACCGAAGCUGCGGAUGCCGGUUUACCGGCAUGGUAGGGGAGCGUUCUGUAGGCUGAUGAAGGUGCAUUGUAAAGUGUGCUGGAGGUAUCAGAAGUGCGAAUGUUGACAUGAGUAGCGAUAAAGCGGGUGAAAAGCCCGCUCGCCGAAAGCCCAAGGUUUCCUACGCAACGUUCAUCGGCGUAGGGUGAGUCGGCCCCUAAGGCGAGGCAGAAAUGCGUAGUCGAUGGGAAACAGGUUAAUAUUCCUGUACUUGAUUCAAAUGCGAUGUGGGGACGGAGAAGGUUAGGUUGGCAAGCUGUUGGAAUAGCUUGUUUAAGCCGGUAGGUGGAAGACUUAGGCAAAUCCGGGUUUUCUUAACACCGAGAAGUGAUGACGAGUGUCUACGGACACGAAGCAACCGAUACCACGCUUCCAGGAAAAGCCACUAAGCUUCAGUUUGAAUCGAACCGUACCGCAAACCGACACAGGUGGGCAGGAUGAGAAUUCUAAGGCGCUUGAGAGAACUCGGGAGAAGGAACUCGGCAAAUUGAUACCGUAACUUCGGGAGAAGGUAUGCCCUCUAAGGUUAAGGACUUGCUCCGUAAGCCCCGGAGGGUCGCAGAGAAUAGGUGGCUGCGACUGUUUAUUAAAAACACAGCACUCUGCCAACACGAAAGUGGACGUAUAGGGUGUGACGCCUGCCCGGUGCCGGAAGGUUAAUUGAAGAUGUGCAAGCAUCGGAUCGAAGCCCCGGUAAACGGCGGCCGUAACUAUAACGGUCCUAAGGUAGCGAAAUUCCUUGUCGGGUAAGUUCCGACCCGCACGAAUGGCGUAACGAUGGCCACACUGUCUCCUCCCGAGACUCAGCGAAGUUGAAGUGGUUGUGAAGAUGCAAUCUACCCGCUGCUAGACGGAAAGACCCCGUGAACCUUUACUGUAGCUUUGCAUUGGACUUUGAAGUCACUUGUGUAGGAUAGGUGGGAGGCUUGGAAGCAGAGACGCCAGUCUCUGUGGAGUCGUCCUUGAAAUACCACCCUGGUGUCUUUGAGGUUCUAACCCAGACCCGUCAUCCGGGUCGGGGACCGUGCAUGGUAGGCAGUUUGACUGGGGCGGUCUCCUCCCAAAGCGUAACGGAGGAGUUCGAAGGUUACCUAGGUCCGGUCGGAAAUCGGACUGAUAGUGCAAUGGCAAAAGGUAGCUUAACUGCGAGACCGACAAGUCGGGCAGGUGCGAAAGCAGGACAUAGUGAUCCGGUGGUUCUGUAUGGAAGGGCCAUCGCUCAACGGAUAAAAGGUACUCCGGGGAUAACAGGCUGAUUCCGCCCAAGAGUUCAUAUCGACGGCGGAGUUUGGCACCUCGAUGUCGGCUCAUCACAUCCUGGGGCUGUAGUCGGUCCCAAGGGUAUGGCUGUUCGCCAUUUAAAGUGGUACGUGAGCUGGGUUUAAAACGUCGUGAGACAGUUUGGUCCCUAUCUGCAGUGGGCGUUGGAAGUUUGACGGGGGCUGCUCCUAGUACGAGAGGACCGGAGUGGACGAACCUCUGGUGUACCGGUUGUAACGCCAGUUGCAUAGCCGGGUAGCUAAGUUCGGAAGAGAUAAGCGCUGAAAGCAUCUAAGCGCGAAACUCGCCUGAAGAUGAGACUUCCCUUGCGGUUUAACCGCACUAAAGGGUCGUUCGAGACCAGGACGUUGAUAGGUGGGGUGUGGAAGCGCGGUAACGCGUGAAGCUAACCCAUACUAAUUGCCCGUGAGGCUUGACUCU